rnacentral:rRNA from 1 species
UACGGAGGGGGCUAGCGUUGUUCGGAAUUACUGGGCGUAAAGGGCGCGUAGGUGGCCUUCUAAGUUGAACGUGAAAUCCCUGGGCUCAACCCAGGAACUGCGUCCAAGACUGGGAGCUUGAAUCCGGGAGAGGGAUGCGGAAUUCCAGGUGUAGCGGUGAAAUGCGUAGAUAUCUGGAGGAACACCGGUGGCGAAGGCGGCAUCCUGGACCGGGAUUGACACUGAGGCGCGAAAGCCAAGGGGAGCAAACGGG